AAUGGGAUAGCUGGGUCAAAUGGUGGCUCCAUUCCCAGCUAUCCAAGGAAUCUCCAUACUGCUUUGCAUAUUGGCUGCACCAAUUUGCAGACCCACCAGCAAU
rnacentral:pre_miRNA from 1 species